GAAAACUUGAAGAAAAAUAAGGCACCAUAUUCGGCCAAGGCUAGCAAAAUUUGAGUCAUGGAAAUUGAUGGAGAAAAAUUAUUUUCUUCUUGCAUUUCAAGCAAUUGGAAGGUCCUCUACAACAUGGAAGAGUUGUUGGAGCAAGGAAAUUAUUCAUUUGGACAAAUUCAUGACCUUAACCAAGAGGAAACUUGAAGGGAAAAAGGGUACACCCAGAUGAGUAGAAGUCAUUACAAAAGAUGUUCCAACGAAGUUGGUAGGCUCCAUUUGCUCCUGGAGUGCUGCUGAGUCAGAGUGUUUGUGCCGUAAUGUCUGAUUAAUGUUAGAGACUUUGCAGACAGCGUCGUGGGUAUUGGUUGUCAGUCUGUAAGCGGCUCCAUCAGCCGAUAUGUCAUUCUGUGUUAUGUAAUAAAUUUUAUAUAAUUACAGAUUUUGUUUAAUUUUGAGAACGAUAAAAGAAAGAUUUUGAAAACUUAA